rnacentral:rRNA from 1 species
AGUGAACGCUGGCGGUAGGCCUAACACAUGCAAGUCGAACGGCAGCACAGUAAGAGCUUGCUCUUACGGGUGGCGAGUGGCGGACGGGUGAGGAGUACAUCGGAAUCUACUUUUUCGUGGGGGAUAACGUAGGGAAACUUACGCUAAUACCGCAUACGACCUACGGGUGAAAGCAGGGGAUCUUCGGACCUUGCGCGAUUGAAUGAGCCGAUGUCGGAUUAGCUAGUUGGCGGGGUAAAGGCCCACCAAGGCGACGAUCCGUAGCUGGUCUGAGAGGAUGAUCAGCCACACUGGAACUGAGACCCGGUCCAGACUCCUACGGGAGGCAGCAGUGGGGAAUAUUGGACAAUGGGCGCAAGCCUGAUCCAGCCAUACCGCGUGGGUGAAGAAGGCCUUCGGGUUGUAAAGCCCUUUUGUUGGGAAAGAAAAGCAGCAGGUUAAUACCCCGCUGUUCUGACGGUACCCAAAGAAUAAGCACCGGCUAACUUCGUG